UACAGAGGGGGCAAGCGUUGUUCGGAAUUACUGGGCGUAAAGGGCGCGUAGGCGGCCCUCUAAGUCAGACGUGAAAUCCCUCGGCUCAACCGGGGAACUGCGUCUGAGACUGGAAGGCUUGAAUUCGGGAGAGGGAUGUGGAAUUCCAGGUGUAGCGGUGAAAUGCGUAGAUAUCGGAAGGAACACCAAUGGCGAAGGCAGCCGCCUGGGCCUGAUCUGACACUGAGACACGAAAGCGUGGGGAUCAAACAGG
rnacentral:rRNA from 1 species